GCCUUGGUGGUGUAGUGGUAACACGCACCCCUGGCAAAGGUGAAACGCGGGUUCACCUCCCGCCUGAGGUC